GCUGACCAAGUGCCAGGCCUCACUGAAGCUGACCUCCGCGUUAACCCUGGACACAAGCCGAGCAGGAAGGAUAAUGCCGGCUUGACAACUCCACUGGUUUCUGCUCCCACUGGCCCUACCUCUGUUAGAGGUGUUCGCCAGGCACCCCAUGCGGUCACCAGCAGACAGCCGCUUUCUGCACAAGUUCCAAGAUGGACUCACAGCAGUCCCCGCCAGCCAUGACGCUGAGAUGGGUGUACACCCAGCUCUGGAGGAACCCAACCGCCUGUGGUCUCUCCACAACGGCUGCAAAAUACUGCUUCAGUUUUGAUUCUUUCAUGGAGGAAGACGUAACUUCAAGUUAAAAGCAGCAGGCGCACCGCUCACCCCUGGACGCUGAGGCUAGACACUGGGUGGAAACCGGUUCCUUCCGGCCCCCGGGCCCUGCACCAGAGCUCGACCCCCACCGCCUCACCUGUCCUGAUGGCGUCCUCCAGCCUGGGGUUUCUCUCUCCCUGGAGAAGCUGGUGGUAGUAGCCGGGAUUCUGGUCCAUCUGCGCCUGGGCCCCACUCAGCACCAUCCAGACGCGGGCACGGUGCUCCAGCGGGACCCCUUUCCGGACAUAGCGCUUCACUGAAGGCCGAGAGGACGGACAGCGUGUGAGCUGGACCAGGGGCCUGCGGGGCCCACGCGUUCCUGCCACACUUUCCACUCUCACCAGUUCUCUUCUUAAAUCAAAUAUUAAAGAGACCCAGAACUUCGUCCAUCUCCACCAAAACUGGUACAUAUACUCCUUUAAAAAUUCUGCUCUCCUCUCCCUCUCAACAGAGCACAAACCAGACUGGCUACAGAACCGCCCCCACGCCCACUUCACCAUUCAAUGCAGGUUCUCCGCUGUAACCAACCUCCAGGUCACAGCCACAGGACUUCCCACGGACUUCCCCUGCUCUUAAAGCAAACUGCAGAACCAAGCGUGGACUUCUGCUCCUGAGGGGGACGGAAGGACAGUCCCCUGCGGUCAUCUCUAUAGGAGAUGGGGGCCAUGGGUGGGAGAGAAACUCCCUGUUGCACUUUGUAGCCCUCAGUAUGAUUAAAGUGUUUACCAUGUACAUAAAUUAUGCUUUUUAAGUUCACAUGUCUUAUAUACUUUUACGUUACUUUUUAAAAUUAAAAGACAGUUAACUUUUAAGAAUAAAU
rnacentral:lncRNA from 1 species